CAAAAACAUGUCUUUUUGAUUAUAAUUUAAAGUCUUGCCUGCCCAAUGAUUAAUUAAAUGGCCGCAGUAUUUUGACUGUGCAAAGGUAGCAUAAUCAUUAGUUUUUUAAUUGAAAGCUGGAAUGAAUGGUUUAAUGAGAAAUAGACUGUCUCUUUAUAAAUUUUAUAGAAUUUUAAUUUUAAGUGAAAAAGCUUAAAUUUAUUAUAAAGACGAGAAGACCCUAUAGAGUUUUAUUAUUAAAUUUGUAAAUGAUUUUUGGUUUUAAUUAUUUUUUAUUUUUUAAAUAAUUUUGUUGGGGUGAUGUAAAAAUUGAUAUAACUUUUUAUUUAUUAUUACACAAAUUAGUGAAUAUUUGAUCCUUUUUUUAAGAUUAAAAGAUUAAAUUACCUUAGGGAUAACAGCGUAAUUUUUUUGGAAAGUUCUUAUUUAUAAAAAAGUUUGCGACCUCGAUGUUGGAUUAAAAUUUAUUUUUGGUGUAGAAGCUGAAAUAUUAGGUCUGUUCGACCUUUAAAAUUUUACAUGAUCU
rnacentral:rRNA from 1 species